CAUGUACUCCCUCCGUUCCAAAUUACUUGUCGCAGAAAUGGAUGUAUCUAGAACUAAAAUACAUCUAGAUACAUCUAUAUCUGUGACAAGUAAUUUGGAACGGAGGGAGUAUUUA
rnacentral:pre_miRNA from 1 species